rnacentral:rRNA from 1 species
GACGAACGCUGGCGGCGCGCUUAACACAUGCAAGUCGAACGGAAAGGCCUGCUUUCCCUUGUGGAUUGCGGGUACUCGAGUGGCGAACGGGUGAGUAACACGUGAGUGAUCUGCCCCCAACUUGGGUAUAAGCCUGGGAAACUGGGUCUAAUUCCCGAUAGGACUGCAGGGUGGUGCCUGUGGUGGAACACGAUUUUCUAGUGGUUGGGGAUGAGCUCGCGGCCUAUCAGCUUGUUGGUGGGGUAAUGGCCUACCAAGGCGGCGACGGGUAGCCGGCCUGAGAGGGUGGACGGCAACAUUGGGACUGAGAUACGGCCCAGACUCCUACGGGGGGCAGCAGUGGGGAAUAUGGCACCAUGGGCGGAAGCCUGAUGCAGCGACGCCGCGUGGGGGAUGACGGCCUUCGGGUUGUAAACUCCUUUCGACCGCGAGGAAGCCACCUGGUUGGAAGGGUGGUGACGGUAGUGGGAGAAGAAGCACCGGCUAACUACGUG